UGCAGAAGUGCUCCUCCAGAAGUGGCUCAGCCCUGCCCUCCUUCCCUGCAAAGCAGCCAAGCACGCCGUGCUAUUGAGCUCUGGAAAUUCAAAGCAUCUAAAGCAUAAAUCUCACCCACCCCAAUCAGGUCCGUGCUGCUGCUAAGCCAUGUUUGUGUGCUCAUGGUCAGCCCCUCCUUGAUUAAUCAUUUCAUGUUAAGUACGCUCUCAAAAUGAAUGUACUGACACGGAAAAGACAAUUGAAAAUGAGAGUCCAAACUACCAAUGGAGGAUUUUGCCUCUGCAUCCAAGUUGGCAAAUGAACAUGGGCACUGGUAAGGAAUAGUCACCCUCCAGAUAUUUCUGCAGAAAAGCCCAGGCAGGGAAUGAAUGAUGGGAGCAUGCAGGGACAGGGCUGAUCCAGGAAUGGGGCAGGCAGUUUGGCUGCAGCUCCACCUUGACCCAUGCAAAUCUGGUUGGGUAAAAGCAUGUUCCUAGGGAAAUGAAAGUUUCUGGUGUGGCUGUUUGCCAGCUGAAGCUCCGGGGAGGAGCCCAGUGUCGUGGUGGUGCUCUGGGUUGAACAGCUUAUGUGGGGCAGUGUGAUGUUGAGUACUGGAGGGUGCAAUCUGAGGGGGUCCUCUGCGCCGUGAGCAGCGGCUCUGGCUGGGAACAGGCUGUGACUGUGCUGGAUGCUGAGGACUUCAAGGUGGAUUAUGCAUCUCCUGGGGUCACCAAGCCCCACAUCGCAGCACAGAUGUGACCUGGGCGCAGGGUGUGUGCAUCCAGCACAGCCAUCCACCCCCAUACUCACCAGGCUGAGUCCCCGCUCAGCUCACGGUUGGAGCGUGGACCUCUGACUUCCAGCUGCAAACAUCUCCUCCUUGCACAAGAGGAAGCAGCCGAGCUGAUGUGCAUGGGAAUUAUCCCAUGUCUUGGAACUCCUUCGGGUCUUGAAGCCAUCUGCACAGCCCUGCCCGGGUCGGGGAAAUCCUGGAGCCUCUGGAGCAGAACACUUCUGACCACUUGAUGCUGAUGGAGACGUCUUCUAUCAACACCUUCAGGAACUCACGU